AAGUUCCCAGGCUAGGGGUGGAACUGGAGUUGUAGCUGCUGGCCUACACCACAGCCACAUCAACACUAGAUCCCAGCUGCUUCUGCAGCCUACACCACAGCUCAUGGCAGUGCUGGCUCCAUAACCCACUGAGCGAGGCCUAGGAUCAAACCUACAUCAUCAUGGAUAUUAGACUCUUUCAUUACUGCUGAACCACAAUGGGAACUCUGGUUACACCUCUAAGUUUGAUACAAUUAUUACUCAUUUAUUGAUGCAAAAUUAUUUAUUUAUUUAUUUACUUAUUUAUUUUUGGCUUUUUAGGGCCACACUCUUGGCAUAUGGAAGUUCCCAGGCUAGGGGUAGAAUUGGAGCUGCAACUGCCGGCCUACACCACAGCUAUAGCAACUUGGGAUCCAAGCUGUGUCUGCAACCUGCACCACCUACACUACAGCUCAUGGCACCACUGGAUCCUUCACCCAUUGAGCAAGGCCAGGGAUUGAACCUGCAUCUACAUGGAUACUGGUUGGAUUCAUUUCCACUUCGCCACAAUGGGAACUCCCAAAGAACUGGGGCUAGAACUGUUUUCUUAUACUGAUGGUCUUUUGCUUGAGUUAGAGAGAUAGUAUAAGUGGUUCAGAACCUGAGAACUUGGGAGCCAGACUGUGUGGGGUGGCAUCUGCACCCCAUUUACUAGCUAGGUAGCUUUGGGUAAGUUACUUGACUUCUCUGUGUCUCAUUAAAAUGAUAAUAACAUUUGUACAUUUCUUAGAGCGUUGUCGUGACAGUGAAAUGAAUUUAUGUACAUAAAGGUCCCUAUGAUAGUAUCUGCCACAUAGUAAAUCCUCUGUAAAUGUUAAUUGCUGCUAAUGUUGGUUUUUUUGUUAUUAGUACAUAUUCUAGAUUUCUUCAAGGAAUGCUUUUCUUAUCACUCGUUUUAUUUAUUUAUUUAUUUAUUUUAUUUUUUGGCUGUGGCAUGCAGCAGCUUGAUGUGGGAUCUCAGUUCCCAGACCAGGGAUUGAACCCAGGUUGCAGUGUGAAGCAGUGUAAGCACCAAGUCCUAACCACUAGGCCACCAGGGAACGCCAUUAUUUCUUUUUUUAAAAAAACUUCAUGAGUGUGUGUCUCUGUGUAGACAGUCAUUCAUCGUACUGUUGAACAUUAAUUCUGUGCUAAUUACUGUGCUGGGCUGGGGGAUAAAGAGCUCUUGUGGGGUUUUAAUGGGGAGACAUACUUAAAUUAUUAUAAAGCAUUGUAAUAAGUGCUAAUAGAUACACUGAGGAAGAGUGUGAGCACAAAAGAAAAAGUAACUAAUUCUGUGGUAAGAGGUGAGGAAGAGAGAGAGUGGAGAUUGUCGAAGCCCUCACAGAAGCUGGAGUGACUCAGGCAAGGAGGAGUAAGGGAGAGAAGGCAUUUUCAGAGAUAGGGACCAGGCAAAUGCAAGAGCAUGAAGCAGCCUAGCAUAGCAUAGGGGAAUUUUAUUUCCGCAUGUGGAUAGGGGUAGUUAGAAGAGAUGAGACUGGAAAGGAUUUUGGACUUUGUAUAGAAGACACCAUGGAGAGUUUUAAAUGGUUGUAUUUGUAAUAAGGAAAACCCUCCAAAAAUAUUUUCCCCAGAUAGUCUUCAGAAAAAAUAAAUCUGGUGAGUCUGUCUUCUGUCUAAAAUCUUUUGAUGACUGCUCAGUGCCUGUGGGGAUGGCCAGACUCUGCCUUGGCAUGCAAAGCCCAUACUGCUCCGGUUUCUUCACACCAUUUCAGUCUCAUCUCCACAUACUUGCUUACAUACACUGACCUUGCCACCCUCCCUAAUUGCAUUUUUCAUCAAUUUUCAUGUUCUUUUAUCCCUUCAUUACUCUGUAGAAUGAAUUCUGCUCAGGGUGUCCUACCAUCAUCACCCGUCCCCAUUGCACAGUUUAGGAGUUACUUGCUUGCUUUUUUCCCGUCUUCCAAAGCAUCCCAUGCUAAUAAAGAAAAUGGGCUUUUGAAUUGGACCAUCAUUUAAACCUUGGACUCCUCUACUCGUGAAGGGGAGAUCUUGUACAAAAUUUAAAGCUCUGUGACACUCUUCUGUUUUAUGUAAAUCGAGUGCACAAUGUACAGAUAAAUUACAUUGCCGUAGAAGGAUUACAUGAAAUACUGUGCUUGAAGCCUUCACCACAGUACCAGCAUUCGUUUGGUAUGUAGUAGCUAUCUCAUUACAGAUCCCUGCAGAAUUUAUUUACAUUGUUUUUGUGAUUUGUUUACCUGACUUCUCCCCAGCUGGACUGAGCUCCCUUAGGGUGGAGAUUUUGUUUUAUUUCUUAGUGUGUAGGGCGUACAUGAAUGUUGAUGCUUGGUAUGUGUUCAGUAAUAUAUGUUAACUGCUUGGUGGCUGUAUAGAGAGGAUGGCUCCAUAAAGGGAGAGACUAACUAGAAAGUAAUAACUUUUUAGUUCCUGAAGUUGUUGAACAUUACAAUCAUUUGAAAUCCU
rnacentral:lncRNA from 1 species